rnacentral:rRNA from 1 species
UACGGAGGAUGCAAGCGUUAUCCGGAAUGAUUGGGCGUAAAGCGUCCGCAGGUGGCGAUGUAAGUCUGCUGUUAAAGAGUCUAGCUCAACUAGAUAAAAGCAGUGGAAACUACAUAGCUAGAGUACGUUCGGGGCAGAGGGAAUUCCUGGUGUAGCGGUGAAAUGCGUAGAGAUCAGGAAGAACACCGGUGGCGAAGGCGCUCUGCUAGGCCGUAACUGACACUGAGGAGCGAAAGCGUGGGGAGCGAACAGG